AUGAGAGUGUCACUCUUGGGCAACUGGUGGGGGAGCCCCCCCCCCGGAGGGUCCCCGCUGAAGGCAAGAAAUGGCUCUUCCUUCCUCUCCCCAAAACCCUACCUCAGAACCAACGUCCCUUUCCGUGGGGCUUCCCCAGGCAGGGACACCCCGCCCUCGCCCUCGAGCCCCUAUCCCUGCUCCUCUUCCAGCGGGUUCCCGGCCCCUCCCCCAGCAGACUCCCCUCCCCCCAAUCUCUCUGGCAGCCUUCCCUCUGCCCCUCCCUUCUCCCUCUGCCUCUGCCUUCCGCCCUCUCUCCCCACCGAAUCUGGCUGGCUCCCCAGCUCCGCCCCUUGCCCCGCCCCUCCGGCUCCUCCCACUGCCCGCAGCCAGCCCGGCCAACCCCUCCCGGCCCCCUCCCGGCCCCCUCCGGUCCCCAGCCACCGCCCCCUGACCCUCUGCUCUGGGCAGUCUCCAAGGCAGCGCUCCCCUCCUCCUCCCCUCUCCCUUCCCUCCCGGCUCCAUCCCCCUCCCCCGGCUGCACACCCUCUCCCUUCCUUUCCCCUCCUCUUUUCCUUCCUCCCCAACACCGCCCUCUGUCUCCCCUCCCCUCUCCCUCUCCUCCCCCACUCCGGUUUCCCUUCCUUCUCCUUUCCUCUCUUCACCUCAGUUCCCUCCCUCCUCCCCUCUCCCCAGCCUUCCUCCCCCCUCUCCCCACACUACCCUCCUCCCUCCCUCCUGCAGUUCUCCUUCCCCUCCGAGGCCCCCGUCUCCCUUCCCCUCUGCCUCCCCAGCAGGCUCUCGCUUCCCUUCCCUCCCGGUCCCCAGUCCCCAGAACCGUUCUUCCCCUCCCCCUUCCAGUCCGCUCCCCGAGCUCCCCCCGCCCCCCGUCUCCUGUCCCCCAAGCCUGUGGGGCUGAGGCUUACCGCUCACUCCGGACCCUCUCACCGGCCCUGCCCCUCCCCACCCCUGCCUCCCAGCACACCUCCGCUUGCCCUCCCCUCCCUCUCAGUGGUUCCCUUCCCCAUUCCUGCGCCCCACUGA
rnacentral:lncRNA from 1 species